AACCCAUUCUCACUCCAAAGGCGUCAAAAACCGAAGCAUGGUCAAGCGCCCCUAGCGUCACUUUUAUGACGCCAAAUGUGCCUCUCGGCGUCGACUAUCGAAGCACUACGACCUUCAUUGCUUUCAGUGGGAAACUUUUGGCGUCAGAAUUCGCCACGAGGACAUGAGAUGUUUAUCGCUAUGAAAUCACGUUCAAGAAGUCUCAUUCAGCACACAUCGCGCGAUACUUGCUAUCAGUUCCACAGUUUGGCUGAAAAGACGUAAAGGCAGUCAGCCCAGUGGUGUUUCUGGAGAGGGAUUCCUUCAGAAAUGGAGAAGACAGAAAGCUGCGGAGGCAGAUAUUUGCAGCAGUCUAAAAUAUCGAGCUCAACAGCUAUUUUAAGAGCCAACCCUCACAAACCUUCCUAAAACCUAAAAGAGCUAUUACUGAGUCUCAGCGAAUCUUGCCACGAUCAGCUCUUCCCAGAAGAGAAGGAAGACCAAGGAUAUGAUUUGCUCAGGAUGAGGAAUGAAGAUGGCCAUCUUGAGCUCAAACAAACAGAAGUCCUCUGAUGAUCUCAUCAGCCAAAUGAGGGGUUUUGACCAAGUGAUGCUCUUGAAAGGAGUGAAAGAAGAGGAUGUGGUAAAUUGUCUUCAGAGAAAAGCUUCUCAAAAGAUCUUAAAACAGCUUGAAGAAUGGUCUGGGAUCUUAGGACUGAGAGAUCAUCUGGCUGAGAACAAGCUACACCACAUCAGUGCUGGAUAUCAACCACAAACUGUUUCCAGACACGAGAGAAGAAGAUCACGAUGGGGAGAUGAAACCAGUUUAGAUGUGAUGAUGGGAAUCAUUAUUUUCUGAAACAGUAUCACAUGUCUUAUAUGUAUCACAUGAUCUGUAUCACAGUUGACUGGAUGGGACUGUGUGACUUUUAAGGACAUUUCAUCACUCAUCUGUGUGAACUGAUUUAUAUAUGAGGUUAAUGUAUCUUUGAUGAUAAUUAUUUUCAUUGAAUCUUAUUUGUCUUGAUGCUACUUUAUCAACUUUAUAGUCUAUGCUUCAAUAAAAUGAAAAUGGUGAA